ACCUGGCUAGCUCAAUCGGUAGAGCAUAAGACUCUUAAUCUCAGGGUUGCAGGUUCAGGUUCCACGUUGGGCA
rnacentral:tRNA from 1 species